rnacentral:rRNA from 1 species
GAUCAUGGCUCAGGAUGAACGCUGGGCGGCGUGCUUAACACAUGCAAGUCGAACGGAGUUUUUAAACGGAAGUUUUCGGAUGGAAGUUUAAGAACUUAGUGGCGGACGGGUGAGUAACGCGUGGGUAACCUGCCUCAGUACAGGGGGAUAACAGUUAGAAAUGACUGCUAACACCGCAUAAUAUAGUGAAACCGCAUGAUUUUUGCUAUCAAAUAUUUAUAGGUAUGAGAUGGGCCCGCGUCUGAUUAGCUAGUUGGUGGGGUAAAAGCCUACCAAGGCGACGAUCAGUAGCCGGCUUGAGAGAGUGACCGGCCACAUUGGGACUGAGACACGGCCCAAACUCCUACGGGAGGCAGCAGUGGGGAAUAUUGGACAAUGGGGGAAACCCUGAUCCAGCGACGCCGCGUGAGUGAAGAAGUAUUUCGGUAUGUAAAGCUCUAUCAGCAGGGAAGAUAAUGACAGUACCUGACUAAGAAGCCCCGGCUAACUACGUGCCAGCCGCCGC